AUUGAACGCUGGCGGCAGGCCUAACACAUGCAAGUCGAGCGAGCGGCGGACGGGUGAGUAAUGUAUGGGGACUGCCUGAUGGAGGGGGAUAACUACUGGAAACGGUAGCUAAUACCGCAUACCAUCGGAUACCCCAUAUGGGAUUAGCUGGUAGGUGGGGUAACGGCUUACCUAGGCGACGAUCCCUAGCUGGUCUGCGAGGAUGAUCAGCCACACUGGGACUGAGACACGGCCCAGACUCCUACGGAGGCAGCAGUGGGGAAUAUUGCACAAUGGGCGCAAGCCUGAUGCAGCCAUUCCGCGUGUAUGAAGAAGGCCUUAGGGUUGUAAAGUACUUUCAGUCGGGAGGCGUUACCCACAGAAGAAGCACCGGCUAACUCCGUGCCAGCAGCCGCGGUAAUAC
rnacentral:rRNA from 1 species